UGGGGAAUCUUGCACAAUGGGCGAAAGCCUGAUGCAGCAACGCCGCGUGCGGGAAGACAGCCCUAGGGUUGUAAACCGCUUUCAGCAGGGAAGAAACUGACGGUACCUGCAGAAGAAGAUGCGGCCAACUACGUGCCAGCAGCCGCGGUGACACGUAGGCAUCAAGCGUUAUCCGGAUUUAUUGGGCGUAAAGAGCUCGUAGGCGGUUCGGUAAGUCGGGUGUGAAAACUCUGGGCUCAACCCAGAGAGGCCACUCGAUACUGCUGUGACUAGAGUGCGGUAGGGGAGCGGGGAAUUCCUGGUGUAGCGGUGAAAUGCGCAGAUAUCAGGAGGAACACCAGUGGCGAAGGCGCCGCUCUGGGCCGUAACUGACGCUGAGGAGCGAAAGCAUGGGUAGCAAACAGGAUUAGAUACCCUGGUAG
rnacentral:rRNA from 1 species